UACAUUCCCAAUGCAUAUGUAGUCUAUUUAUCCUAUUCAGAUUCUAUAAUGUUCGCGGUGGCUCCUUUUUCCGUUUUAAGCCGCUCUUUCGUGCACUUGUUGCGGGCGCUAGAGCGAGACGGCUAGCUGGCACAUGGCCGUGGGUUCUGCUCUCCCGCUCCCACUCCAUGAUUUUAUCCCUUCCCCCAUUGAUCAUGCGUGCCUUUUUUUGUAUUUUUGUUGCUCUGCUUCUUCGGUGUUUAUUAUCCUAUGCUUAAUAACCGCAAAAGUUGUUUGGCUGCUUUGCCAUUCGCUUCGCGGAAUUCAAAUAUUUACUCGAAAAUAACGGCGCAGCUUCGCGCGCGUCUGCGUGUGGGUGUAAUGGCACUAUUGCACUGAGAAAAAAAAAAACAAUAAGAUCGCUCGUCCAAUACGAUUUUCAUUUCCACUGAAAAUAUGCUUAAAAAUUUGCUAAAAGUAAACCCUAGAAAGUUUUAAAUAUAUUGAUAUUUCUUAAAAAAAAACGUUCUAGACGAAUGUAUAAAUUUUUUAAAAUAUGUUUUCUAUAAUCUUCUACAAACUUUGAAAUCUAUUAUUUUAUUAUCCAAUUUGAUUUUGACUGAAAUCAUCUUACCAUAUCCCACGAUCGACCCAACUGAUCAUUUCAGGAUUUUUGCUCAGUGUAGUGGUGCGCGGGUGGCGACAACCUACAGAAAUUACUGCUCACAUUUUCGCCAACUCAGGAAAUUUCUACAAUUGCUUUUAAUUUACGUUUGCCGCUUCCGCUGGCAGAAUUUUCGGGCUCCCUCUCUAAUUAUAUCGUGGCCUCUCUUUUCCGCAGCGGCGCUUGUUGCAUUUCAAUUCUUGCGAUCUUGUGUCUUUUUCGCACGGCUUUUUUGGUUGCAGCUGCUUUUGUUGUUGUUGUGGUUCUUGUUGUUCUUUCGAAAAGCAACAAAAGCAAAUCCGUUGACCGACCUUGAGCGCAUAUUUUCGAGACUUGAGACCAGUUUUUUUUACUGCGUUCCCCACACACACAUACUUACGUUUAAAAUCUGACACAGUGGUUUUCGCGAAAUUAGCAGCUGGCUAAAUGAUAAUAUUUUCCCAUUUAUGGAAGUGCUGAUUAUCUAAAUUCCAUUUCCGUUUAAUAUUUUUUUUUUUUUCGCCUAAGAACAAAAUUCGUUCUAUUCAAAACUGGAAACAAAUUAUUUAAUUUACUAAAAUUUCUUGAUAAAUUUCUGUCAGUUGAAUUCUCUAGAAUAUUUUUCAAAUGAAAAUAUUUCGGUUACCGGAAAUAAACAGCGUUUUUGCAUUCUUGGAAAUCGUCGAGCUUAACGGUACAAACUCUUCAAUUAUAAGAAUUUAAAUUGCAAUGAAUAAUAUUCAAAAUAAAAAUCACUCUUAAUGGGACGCAUUCGUUUUUCUUAAGAAAUAAAUAGGAUACAAAAUUGUGCAAUUAAACUGAAUAUUGUUGAUUUUACAAGGAGAAGUCUAUAAUUAGUUGGCUCCUUUCAAACUGUGAAUUUGCAUAAUGUUUGUACUAUAUAUUCGCAAUUAGUUUUCCAACUAAACGGCUAAACACAGCUGUAGUUGCACGCAAAGUGGGGCUUUCGUUUCUCAUGUUCAGUGUGCCCAUGGGCUUAUUGGUUUACGCCUAAUCCAGUUUAUUUUUAAGCGAACUUAUGUUUGCCUUUGCCUCUAAGUCUGGGGCUUUUCCCCAAUUGCAGUUCCAUUUUAUUUUCGCCCUUGGCUGGGCUGUCUAUCAGUCUGUGUUUACGUUUCGAGGGCCUGUGUUAUUGUUGUUCCCACGAAAUUUGGAAGCUGAUAACGCAGCUAUCGAGCCGAGCCAAACAUUUACAUUACGAAUCCCCUUUGAAUCGAAUUGAAUCCAUCAACGAAUUCCGAUUGCCAAUCAGUUUCGAGUAUAUCAGCAGCGUUGAAACGUGUCAAUCUUGCCCCAGUUUCUUCUUCUUCUUCUUCUGCUUCUCCCCUUCCGAGUCAGCAGUUUCGUUUCUAAUUAUAGACAAUGGAGUAAUGAAGACUAUUUUAAAGUCACCAGACAGACGCACCGAAGUCGGUUAUAAAACAUUUAUGUAUGUGCGUCUGCGUGUGUUUUUCGCCUAAUGGAAAUGCUGAAACUUGUAAACACAACGUUUGAUGAGUAAGAAGAAGGAGGUGGGGGCGAAGUUUGAGGAGCAUAAGUUUACCAUUACAUAUUAAAUUGCAUUAGUUUACUUGUGUAAACUUCGUGUUCAACUUGCGCCUGCCUUCUGUUGCCGGGUGUGUCUGCCAUUGCGAAACAAUUUAAAUGCAUGCAUUUCACAACAGACUUUGGAGUUGAGCAAUAGAUCGCCCGCCAUAUGAGGUCAGAGGCUUGACAAACUAAAUGAUUGCUAUGCGGAGGGGAUCAAUCAUAUUUUUAUUUUGCUCAGCCGCUCAGCGCAUUACUAAUUGGGGAAUUUUUUAUUCGAAGGGGAUACAGUAGUUUUUUGAAAACCGGAAAUGGUAAACUCAUUUUAUGUGGAAUUUGUAUAUAUAUUUUUAAUUUUAUAUAUAUAAAACGCAUAUAUUAAGCUACUGAAUUUUCCUAUUACUAGAAGUUUUUAAAAUUUCUCUUAAUCCAAUACCCACUGUACUUGCAAUUUAUGGCAAUACAAUAACCCUGACUAAUAAAAGCCUAUGAGAUCAGAAGCCAAGCUCGAACUAUUGUUUUCCGACUUUCAAGUCCAGUUUGCUUACGCAAUGCUCGUGUGAUUGUUUUCAAUAAUUAAAAACGAACAAUAGUAUUGCUUCAUUAAAAGGGAGAUAAUAAACUAAUACUAUAAAUUUUGCACUUUUCCCUGAAUCGUCGUAACUUAAACAGCAAUAGAACUAUAGGGAGUUUUCAGAGCGAGAUUUUCCUUGGCUGCUAAUCUGCACGUGACACAUCCUAAUAUCCUGAUAUAGAAAUCGAUACUCGUGACAGCAAUAAACGGCUAUUUUAUACCAAUUAUCUCUUAUUUCCUUCCACCUCGCAUAGAUACUUAAAUUCGUACAUAGAUACGAGCGCAUAGAGAGAUUGGCACGCGAAUUCGUUUGAAGAAAUGCCUUUUUAAAUGUGCCGUUAAAGUUUUGCGGCUUUAUGCGGCGCAUUGCUGCCAGCGGCGCUUUGUUAAUCGAUUUUUGAUACGAGCAAAAAAAAAAUUAAAAACCAAGCGAUUCGGAAUGGAGAAGUCAACUCGACUGCUAGCCCAUAAAGUUGGGCCUCCUGCAGCCGUGCCUAUAUCCUCUGUGCCUGUCGCUUCUGUUGCCAAUUUCAUUUAUCUCUCAGCUUUAUAUGUUCCUUCCUGUCUUAUAUUGCAUUUGAUGAAGGAAGGGUAUAUUGGGAUACGGAUAAAUGACGUGGGAUUUAUGAGAAUAUCAUUAGAUAUGAGUGCAGAAACAUAUUAUUACCUAUAUAACUCCUUAAAAACCAUAAUGAAGUUUUUAGGUAUAAAUUAACUGAACUUAAAUAUUUAUGAACUCUUGGUAUUUUUAAUUUAACUUAAAAGACUUAAAACUUCUUAGUAUGGCUAGAAAACUCCUAACAUUUAAUUUUAAACUUUCAUUUAUGAUACAGCGAUAUACAGAGUAUCUGUUAGUUGCAAUCCCAUCUUACUGCUUUACCAAUAGUAGUCAUUGUUGCAUUUGGGCUUUAUUUUGCACGAAAUAUGUGAGUUUGACUUUUUGCUUUGCGCUUUGUUUGGCUUUGGCCUGACUUUUCGAGCUGUUUUCGAUGUUUUUACAUCUUUUUUUUCAGAGUCAGAGCCACGACGAACGAUUAUUUCAUGCUCGCAAGGAAAGUAAAUGACCUCUUUGUUGUCAUGUUGUCAUGGGAAGUUGGGGGGAUCGAGAAAGAGAGCUGCUCGCUCUGUGGCUCAAUGGCUUUGGUGGGCAUAGCUCUAUAGCAAUGGCUAUAGGAACGUGCCAGUUUUGGCCAGCCUUUUCUGGCCAAUUUCGCAGAGCACGAGUCGAGCGGCGAAAGAGGAAAGUCGAGAGCACAAGUCACACAAAGAGGCAGCGAAGCAUCAAAAAUAAAAGCGUCGCGCCGUCCGUUUGACUUCGUUUGCCACUUAACGAGACCCCCAUUUAGCUUCUGCGCACCGCCGCCCCUGUCUUCCUGGCACACAUUUUUGCACUUUCCUGACCCCGCCGACGACCUCUUCUUUCGCCCGCUGCAAAACCUCCUCUUUUGGCCGCCCCAAUAGGCCAUCACUUCUCACUGGGCCAUGUUUUAAUUUUUGCAUCCUCUUCGAGUGACAAAUGACUACAGCAACAAACUUCAGGACGUUUUGAGAUGUAGGAAGAAGUAUGUAUUAGGCAAUUCGCUGGAUGCGCUGAAAGAAAGGUAGUUAGGGUUUCAGUUUCUUCUUGUUAAUAGCAAACUACAACCACGAUAUUGAAAUCAAAUAACUUUUUUCUUUGCCAAUGUAUAUUCAAAAUAAAGUUCAAUCUCAAUGGGCUUCCAUAGUUGAGGUCGUAAGUCUACGUGCCACAAAGAUUGCUCAUAAGAUUUCAAUUAGAAUUUUGAUGCAACA
rnacentral:sRNA from 1 species